rnacentral:rRNA from 1 species
UGCAGUCGAGCGGACAGAUGGGAGCUUGCUCCCUGAUGUUAGCGGCGGACGGGUGAGUAACACGUGGGUAACCUGCCUGUAAGACUGGGAUAACUCCGGGAAACCGGGGCUAAUACCGGAUGGUUGUUUGAACCGCAUGGUUCAAACAUAAAAGGUGGCUUCGGCUACCACUUACAGAUGGACCCGCGGCGCAUUAGCUAGUUGGUGAGGUAACGGCUCACCAAGGCAACGAUGCGUAGCCGACCUGAGAGGGUGAUCGGCCACACUGGGACUGAGACACGGCCCAGACUCCUACGGGAGGCAGCAGUAGGGAAUCUUCCGCAAUGGACGAAAGUCUGACGGAGCAACGCCGCGUGAGUGAUGAAGGUUUUCGGAUCGUAAAGCUCUGUUGUUAGGGAAGAACAAGUACCGUUCGAAUAGGGCGGUACCUUGACGGUACCUAACCAGAAAGCCACGGCUAACUACGUGCCAGCAGCCGCGGUAAUACGUAGGUGGCAAGCGUUGUCCGGAAUUAUUGGGCGUAAAGGGCUCGCAGGCGGUUUCUUAAGUCUGAUGUGAAAGCCCCCGGCUCAACCGGGGAGGGUCAUUGGAAACUGGGGAACUUGAGUGCAGAAGAGGAGAGUGGAAUUCCACGUGUAGCGGUGAAAUGCGUAGAGAUGUGGAGGAACACCAGUGGCGAAGGCGACUCUCUGGUCUGUAACUGACGCUGAGGAGCGAAAGCGUGGGGGAGCGAACAGGAUUAGAUACCCUGGUAGUCCACGCCGUAAACGAUGAGUGCUAAGUGUUAGGGGGUUUCCGCCCCUUAGUGCUGCAGCUAACGCAUUAAGCACUCCGCCUGGGGAGUACGGUCGCAAGACUGAAACUCAAAGGAAUUGACGGGGGCCCGCACAAGCGGUGGAGCA